UCACCAUUACCCCCAAAUUGCAUGGUAAUGGUGAACAACCAUCAGGUAAUGGUGAA
rnacentral:tRNA from 1 species